rnacentral:rRNA from 1 species
AUGGCCGCCGAGGUGCUGGUCGGAUCCGAGCGCCGCGUGCUCAUCAGCGCCCUCCCCGCGCCACCGCCGCCCGACAGCCUGCUCGGCCGCCUCGACCAGAUCGACCUACGGCUGAGGCAGCUGGAGGAGGAGCGGCGGCCGUCCUCGGUCGCCGAGGGCGACGGCGCGCGCCCGGCGCCGCGGCACCAGCACAGCAAGUCCAUGCCGUCGGCGCUCCAGCCGCAGGACGCGCGCGACGUGAGGGGCACGCUCAUGGACCGCCUCAACCUGCUCGAGUCGCGCAUCAGGCAGCUCAGCUGCGAGCUCGACCUCGACGGCUCCGGGAGCGGCAAGGCUGCCGCGUCGUCCCUCCCGAUGCCGAUGCCGGUGCCGCGCCCGGCCGAGGACUGCGCGUGGUCCGAGCCGCCGCUGCCGGAGCCCGCCAUGCGCGCGCGCGCCGCGGCCGCGGCGGGAGGCGGCGCCGGGGCCAGCUGGAGCGCCGCGCAGAUCCUGCAGAGGGGCGCCCGCCAGCUCAACCGCAACAAACCCAGCCACGCAGCCAAGGUGAAGAAGCUGAAGGAGGCCAAGUGCGCGUGCGAGGAGGAGAAGAGGAAGGCGGAGCGCGCCAGUCGGCCGUCGGCUGGCCGGAGGUGGUUCACCGUCGGGUGCUAG